UACGUAGGGGGCAAGCGUUGUCCGGAAUCAUUGGGCGUAAAGAGCGUGUAGGCGGCCGCUUAAGUCCUGCGUGAAAUCUCGGAGCUCAACUCCGAGCGGUCGUGGGAAACUGGGCGGCUAGAGUGCGGGAGAGGAGAGUGGAAUUCCUGGUGUAGCGGUGGAAUGCGCAGAUAUCAGGAGGAACACCCGUGGCGAAAGCGGCUCUCUGGGACGGUACUGACGCUGAGGCACGAAAGCUAGGGGAGCAAACAGG
rnacentral:rRNA from 1 species